rnacentral:rRNA from 1 species
UACGGGGGGGGCAAGCGUUGUUCGGAAUUACUGGGCGUAAAGGCUCGUAGGCGGCCAACUAAGUCAGACGUGAAAUCCCCAGGCUCAACCUGGGAACUGCGUCUGAUACUGGAUGGCUUGAAUUCGGGAGAGGGAUGCAGAAUUCCACGUGUAGCAGUGAAAUGCGUAGAUAUGUGGAGGAAUACCGAUGGCGAAGGCAGCCCCCUGG